CUUUCGUAACUUCGGGAGUAAGGAUACCUCCACGUAAAGGGGGUUGUACUGACUAGGCUUGGGUGAUUGUUUUCUAAAAAUAUAGGUUUUUGUAAAGUCGUAAGACCAUGUAUAGGGGUUGACGUUUAUUCAAUGUCGAAAGGUUAAGAAAGUUGGUGACUUGAUGAUAGAGGAGCCGACGAUCAAAGUCUCGUGAACAGCGGUUAUAACUAUAACAAUCCUAAGGUAGCAAAAUUUCUUGUCGGGUAAGUUUUGGCCUGCACAAAAGUCGUAAUAAUCUGAGCACUG
rnacentral:ncRNA from 1 species